rnacentral:piRNA from 1 species
GCGCUGACAUCCUGUGUUC